AGUAACGCGUGAGGAACCUGCCUCAAAGAGGGGGACAACAGUUGGAAACGACUGCUAAUACCGCAUAAGCCCACGGCUCGGCAUCGAGCAGAGGGAAAAGGAGUGAUCCGCUUUGAGAUGGCCUCGCGUCCGAUUAGCUAGUUGGUGAGGUAACGGCCCACCAAGGCGACGAUCGGUAGCCGGACUGAGAGGUUGAGCGGCCACAUUGGGACUGAGACACGGCCCAG
rnacentral:rRNA from 1 species